rnacentral:rRNA from 1 species
AUUGAACGCUGGCGGCAGGCUUAACACAUGCAAGUCGAGCGGGGGAAGGUAGCUUGCUACCGGACCUAGCGGCGGACGGGUGAGUAAUGCUUAGGAAUCUGCCUAUUAGUGGGGGACAACAUCUCGAAAGGGAUGCUAAUACCGCAUACGUCCUACGGGAGAAAGCAGGGGAUCUUCGGACCUUGCGCUAAUAGAUGAGCCUAAGUCGGAUUAGCUAGUUGGUGGGGUAAAGGCCUACCAAGGCGACGAUCUGUAGCGGGUCUGAGAGGACGAUCCGCCACACUGGGACUGAGACACGGCCCAGACUCCUACGGGAGGCAGCAGUGGGGAAUAUUGGACAAUGGGGGGAACCCUGAUCCAGCCAUGCGGCGUGUGUGAGGAAGGCCUUAUGGUUGUAAAGCACUUUAAGCGAGGAGGAGGCUACUUUAGUUAAUACCUAGAGAUAGUGGGCGUUACUCGCAGAAUAAGCACCGGCUAACUCUGUGCCAGCCGCCGCAGUAA